UUUCGCAAUGCCCGAAAGGGUGACGAAGCGACGCCGCGUGCGGGAAGAAGGCCUUCGGGUUGUAAACCGCUGUCGGGAGUUAAGAAAUGUAAGGAUGUUAAUAGCAUCUUUGCUUGACUAAGGCUCCGGAGGAAGCCACGGCUAACUCUGUGCCAGCAGCCGCGGUAAUACAGAGGCGGCAAGCGUUGUUCGGAAUUAUUGGGCGUAAAGAGCACGUAGGCGGCUAUGUAAGUCGGUUGUGAAAGCCUUCCGCUCAACGGGAGAACAGCAUCCGAUACUGCAUGGCUUGAGUGCGGGAGGGGAGAGUGGAACUUCUGGUGGAGCGGUGAAAUGCGUAGAUAUCAGAAGGAACGCCGGCGGCGAAAGCGGCUCUCUGGCCCAUAACUGACGCUGAGUGUGCGAAAGCUAGGGGAGCAAACGGGAUUAGAUACUCCGGUAGUCCUAGCCGUAAACGAUGGGCACUAAGUAGAGGGGUUUUA
rnacentral:rRNA from 1 species